rnacentral:tRNA from 1 species
GUCGGAUUAGCUCAGUUGGAUAUGAGCGUGCGCCUCCUAAGCGCAAGGCCCCCGGUUCGAGCCCGGGAUCCGACGCCA